rnacentral:rRNA from 1 species
UUUAGAGUUUGAUCCAUGGCUCAGAUUGAACGCUGGCGUCAGGCCUAACACAUGCAAGUCGAGCGGGGUUUUCGGACCUAGCGGCGGACGGGUGAGUAAUGCGUAGGAAGCUACCCGAUAGAGGGGGAUACCAGUUGGAAACGACUGUUAAUACCGCAUAAUGUCUACGGACCAAAGUGUGGGACCUUCGGGCCACAUGCUAUCGGAUGCGCCUACGUGGGAUUAGCUAGUUGGUGAGGUAAUGGCUCACCAAGGCGACGAUCUCUAGCUGGUUUGAGAGGAUGAUCAGCCACACUGGAACUGAGACACGGUCCAGACUCCUACGGGAGGCAGCAGUGGGGAAUAUUGGACAAUGGGCGCAAGCCUGAUCCAGCCAUGCCGCAGUGUGUGAAGAAGGCCUUCGGGUUGUAAAGCACUUUCAGCGAGGAGGAAGGGUUGGAUGUAAUACAUCAA